rnacentral:rRNA from 1 species
AUACGGAGGGUCCAAGCGUUAUCCGGAAUCAUUGGGUUUAAAGGGUCCGCAGGCGGUCAAUUAAGUCAGAGGUGAAAGCCCAUCGCUCAACGAUGGAACUGCCUUUGAUACUGGUUGACUUGAGUUAUACGGAAGUAGAUAGAAUAAGUAGUGUAGCGGUGAAAUGCAUAGAUAUUACUUAGAAUACCGAUUGCGAAGGCAGUCUACUACGUAUAUACCGACGCUGAGGGACGAAAGCGUGGGGAGCGAACAGGAUUAGAUACCCUAGUAGUCC